GACGAACGCUGGCGGCGUGCUUAACACAUGCAAGUCGAACGGUGAAGCUCCAGCUUGCUGGAGUGGAUCAGUGGCGAACGGGUGAGUAACACGUGAGCAACCUGCCCCUGACUCUGGAAUAAGCGCUGGAAACGGCGUCUAAUACUGGAUACGAGAAGGGCCCGCAUGGGCACUUUCUGGAAAGUUUUUCGGUUGGGGAUGGGCUCGCGGCCUAUCAGCUUGUUGGUGAGGUAAUGGCUCACCAAGGCGACGACGGGUAGCCGGCCUGAGAGGGCGACCGGCCACACUGGGACUGAGACACGGCCCAGACUCCUACGGGAGGCAGCAGUGGGGAAUAUUGCACAAUGAGCGAAAGCCUGAUGCAGCGACGCCGCGUGAGGGAUGACGGCCUUCGGGUUGUAAACCUCUUUCAGCAGGGAAGAAGCGAAAGUGACGGUACCUGCAGAAGAAGCACCGGCUAACUACGUG
rnacentral:rRNA from 1 species